UGGAAUAACUGCUGAAGCCUCACACUUCUGUCUCUAUUAUCUGACAGGAGGUCUGGAAUCCAAAAAAAUGACUUAUCAUCAGACUUUCUUAAUCAUCACAAUAAUUUGUCGGAAAGAAUCUGGUACAAUUCAGGCAACACCAGAGGGGCUCGGCUGCUAGAAACAAGAUGAUCAGGGACUGAUGCAAAUUCCCAAAACCAGGAUUGAAGCAGCAGGGCCACCUGCAAGGCUGGAGGACCACGUGAAGCCAUCACCUGCAGAAGGCUCAGCACACCGCAGCCAUCUCGGGGCCAAAGGAGACUUUAAGGUAUAAGAAGUGAUUGCAGGAAGUGAAUUCAGAAAGAAAUCGAGCAUGCCGUGCCGCUGGAGGGCUGAUCAACAGGGGUCCUGGUGAUAAAGGAGGUAGAGGAAGGAGAAUGAAUGAAAGGAUGGAAUUUCUGAUAGU